rnacentral:rRNA from 1 species
UGAGUAACCUGCCCUUCUCAUCGGAAUAAGCGUUGGAAACGACGUCUAAUGCCGAAUACGCCUCCUUUCGCAUGAUCGGAGGUGGAAAGCUCCGGCGGAGAAGGAUGAGCUCGCGGCCUAUCAGCUAGUUGGUGUGGGUAAUGGCCCACCAAGGCGACGACGGGUAGCCGGCCUGAGGAGGGGUGACCCGGCCACACGUGGGACUGAGACCACGGCCCAGACCUCCGUACGGGGAGGCAGC